CAAUAGCGUAUAUUAAAGUUGUUGCAGUUAAAAAGCUCGUAGUUGGAUCUUGGGAUGUGAUGAACUCUGUCCACCUAGUGGUGCGAACGGGUUCGUCCAUCCUUCCCUUCUGGAUAUCCCCUGCUGUUCUUAAUUGAAUGGUAGGAGACGGUCGUUGGUUUGUUCCGGCGGCUUGGAUUCCAGAUCGUUUACUUUGAGGAAAUCAGAGUGUUCAAAGCAGGCUUAUGCCUUGAAUUCUGCAGCAUGGGAUAAUGAAAUAGGACUCAGGUUCUGUUUUGUUGGUUUUUAGGACCAGAGUAAUGAUAAAUAGGGACAGUUGGGGCCAUUAGUAUUAAGUUGUCAGAGGUGAAAUUCUAGGAUUUACUUAAGACUAACUUCUGCGAAANCANNNGGCAAGGAUGUUUUCAUNAA
rnacentral:rRNA from 1 species